UACGAAGGGGGCUAGCGUUGUUCGGAAUCACUGGGCGUAAAGCGCACGUAGGCGGAUCUUUAAGUCAGAGGUGAAAUCCCAAGGCUCAACCUUGGAACUGCCUUUGAUACUGGGGAUCUCGAGUCCGGAAGAGGUUGGUGGAACUCCGAGUGUAGAGGUGAAAUUCGUAGAUAUUCGGAAGAACACCAGUGGCGAAGGCGGCCAACUGGUCCGGUACUGACGCUGAGGUGCGAAAGCGUGGGGAGCAAACAGG
rnacentral:rRNA from 1 species